CAGAAAAUAGCCCCCAAAUGAUUAAGGAAGCAUGAGGUCAAAAUGGGAAGUAAAAAACCUGUAAAGACCACCAAUCAGUAACAGUUGUGUGUGUGUGUAUGUCAUCAUUUCAAAUUAUUUGCUUUUCUUAUUUUUUUAUCCAGUAUGAACAUACACAUACACUCAAACAGAACAAAGCAAUAACAAAUAAUAAAAAAAAAUCAGCCAUUGACCACCACCACCACCUUUAUCACCAUCAUCACCACCAUUAUCUCCACCAUCACAUCGUCGUCACCGUCACUAACAUCAUUAUCACCACCAUCAUCACUAUCACACCAUCAUCAUCACCACCAUCACCAUCAUCACCACCAUCAUCAUCACCAUCACUACCACCAUUACCACCAUUAUCAUCCCCAUCAUCCCCAACAUCACCACCAUUAUCUCUACCAUCACUACCAUCACCAUCAUCAUCACCGUCACUACCAUCACUACCACACCAUCAUCAUCACUACCAUCACUACCACACCAUCAUCAUCACCACCAUCAUCACUGUCACCACCACCAUCAUUACCACCACACCAUCAUCAUCACCACCAUCAUCAUCAUCACCACCAUCACCAUUGUCACCACCAUCACCACUGUCACUACCAUCAUUAUAACCACCAUCAUCACUACCACACCAUCGUCAUCACCACCAUUACCAUCAUCACCACCAUCAUCAUUAUCACCGUCACCACUACCAUUACCACCACACUAUCAUCAUCACCACUAUCACCAUCAUCACCACCAUUAUCUCCAUCAUCACCAUCAUCACCCAUCGUCACCACCAUUAUCUCUACUAUCAAUACAUCACCAUCAUCAUCACUGUCACUACCAUCAUUAUCACCACCAUCAUCACCACCAUUAUCUCCAUCAUCACCAUCGUCACCCAUCAUCACCACCAUUAUCUCUACCAUCAAUACCAUCACCAUCAUCAUCACUGUCACUACCAUCAUUAUCACCACCAUCAUCACUACCACACCAUCAUCAUUACCAUCAUCACCAUUGUCACCACCAUCAUCACCACCAUUAUGUCCAUCAUCACCAUCGUCACCACCAUCGUCACCACCAUUAUCUCUACCAUCACUACCACACCAUCAUCAUCACCACCAUCAUCACCACCAUUAUCUCCAUCAUCACCAUCGUCACCACCGUCACCACCAUUAUCUCUACCAUCACUACCACACCAUCAUCAUCACCACCAUCAUCACUGUCACCACCACCAUCAUUACCACCACACCAUCAUCAUCACCACCAUCCUCAUUGUCACCACCAUCACCACCACCAUCAUCAUCACCAGCAUCACCAUCGUCACCACCAUCACUACCACCAUCAUCACCAGCAUCACCGUCAUCAUCACCAUCGUCACCACCAUCAUCAUCACUACUACACCACCAUCAUCACCAUUGCUGCCACCAUAAUCACACCUGAAACUUGGAAGUGUAGCCCAGUGGAGCAUCUGUUGCCAGACAAUGAGGCAUCAAGUCCCCCAAGCAGAUGUCACCUCAUGUCAUUGUGAAGGAAAGAUGUUCACAGAGCAGCAGACUUGCCUGCAUACACAUGACUGAGUUCCAAGCGAGCGGACGGGAAGGGGGCAGCCAGGAAAGCAGCUUGCUUCCCCCUGUCCCCAGUCUAGUGUUUUAUCCAUGAGCACACUGUAGCCCUUCAAUACUUUAUUAAGCAUCUCCUCUCCUGGACACCCCACUACCUUCAGCG
ensembl:lncRNA